rnacentral:lncRNA from 1 species
GGCAGUCUUAGCAGAUUUGAGGCUAUCUGUUUCUGAAGCUGGGAGACAGAAUCCCUGAGUUCAUAAUUUUCUUUCAUCACUUUGUCCACUGAACAUAGGAACAACCAACCAGCUUCAUUAUGUUCCUUGGUUCUCCACAUAUGGUGAAAGGUAUUAUGCAUAGAGUCACUAAACUUGACUCUCACGAGUAAUGAAUCAGGAGGGUCAAAUGCAUUUAUUUUGCAUAACUCUCUAAACAGUUCACACCAAGGACUAUCAGUGUUCUCCAUACUAUUAGAAGUAGAGUCCUUAGCAUUUUGGGUUCUAAUCAUAUUAAGCAGCCAACUCCAGAAACCCCAAACCAAUGAAAGAACUCCAUCCUUAAUAUUCUGUUCCUCUAGAACCACUCCCAAUACCAAAAUCUGUAUUAGUCAGGGUUCUCUAGAGGGACAGAAUAGGACACGCACACACACACACACACACACACAAAUAUAUGGAGAGUUUAUUAAGUAUGAACUUACACAAACACAAGGUCCCACAAUAGGAUGUCUGCAGGCUGAGGAGGAAGGAGAGCCAGUCCAAGUCCCAAAACUGAAGAACCUGGAGUCCAAUUUUCAAGGGCAGGAAGCAUCCAGCAUGGGACAAAGAUGUAGGCUGGGAGGCUAGGCCAGUCUAUCUUUUUCAUUUUUCUGCCUGCUUUAUUUUCGCUGGCAGCUGAUUAGAUGGUGUCCACUCAGAUUAAGGGUGGGUCUGCCUUUCCCCAGCCCACUGAGUCCAAUGUUAACCUCCUUUGGCAACACCCUCACAGACACACCCAGGAUCAAUACUUUGUAACCUUCAAUCUAAUAAAGUUGACAGUAUUAACCAUCACACCUGCCUAAGUAAAGAUUAAAUGAGAUGAUCAUCACAACGCAUAUUUGUUGCUGUUGUUGUUUAAAAAAGUGAAUGGAGGGCCAGGUGUCGUGACUCACACCUGUAAUCCCAGCACUUUGGGAGGCCGAGGCAGGCAGCCCACUCAAAGUGAGUAGUUCGAGACCAACCUGGCCAACAUGGUGAAACCUUGUCUCUACUAAAAAUACAAAAAUUAGUGGGUGUGGUUGCGUUCACCUGUAAUCCCAGGUACUCGGGAGGCUGAGGCAAGAGAAUCGCUUGAACCGGGAAGGCAGAGGUUGCAGUGAGCCGAGAUAGCGCAACUGCACUCCAGCCUGGGUGACACAGCAAGACUUCGUGUCAAGAACAAAAAACAAAAAACAAACAAAAAAAGUGAAUGAAGGGAAAAAUAGAUUAAGUUUUCAAUGUAACAUUGUUCAUAGUAGGAAGAAAACCUGAAAGCAACCUAAAUGCCCAUCAACAGUGGGAUUAAUACAUUGUAGUAUAAACCCAGUAAAAUACUUUAGUUUUUUAAAAAAUGAAAAUAAACUAUAGUUACAAUUGUAUAGGUAGCUUUUUUUCAUAGCCAAUUAGUCGUUUAAUCUAUUUUCUGAACUGCAUGCUUAUUUUAUGGAUGCAGAGUAGAUUGGUUGAGUGUGAGGACACUUAAAAAUAGCAUGAUACAGUUAUUGUAGGAAGUAUUAAUAUUUAAAAAUUGUUACAGCCAAGACCAAAAAGUGAGAACCACAAUUCAAUAUUUUCUAUAAAUUUCAUAAAUGUCUAUGUUUAAACAUUCCUGGUAAAUAUGUAUAAUCGUACACUUUUAAACUUUCUCUGAUAAAUUCAGUGAGUAUUCAAUAAUUGCUCAUUAUCAAAAGGUUGUGAAUUUGUCUCUCUUCCAGCCAGAUGACAGGAGCCUAGGAUUCCAAUGGUGUGCUCAGGACUGACAUCACUGGGGUCAAAGAUUCAGCUGCCAUGGUCCAGGCUCCAGGCUGGGGAGGAUGUUAGGGAUUGGUGUGGUCAGGACCAGCGCUGCUAUGACUGCGGAUUUAUUUGGCAUAUUUGGGACUGGGUGUGAUGAGACAGCAGCUGGCAUGUCAAGAGGUUGAGGGAGGGAGGAAGAAUGAACAAAUUAUUUAGGAUUAUGGGAGUCAGGUUUCUAUGAGAGAAGGAAGUUACAAAGAUGGAAAGGGAGACUAGAUUAACCUCAAAGGAUUGAAUUGAAGGUGUCAAUGUGAACUCAAAGUUUUCAAUACGUAUGUAUAUAAAUAGAUAUAGAAGUAGGUGACUAUUCUUGAAUGUGUGUAGACACACGUUUUCCUUUGAGCUGUUCACCAAUAAGACAGUGAGCCUUUCUCAGGUCUUCAUUUCCAUAUACCAUUUCCCAUUUAAAGAAACCAGGGCUCCUUGGAAAAAAGGGCUAAUUCUAGACUUGGGGUAGGGAGUAGGAAAAAGUGUAAGAUGAGCUCGUAAAAAAAAUAAGAGGGGAAAAAGCAAUGAGGCAUCUCUAAGGAACACAGAAGCCAGCUUGAAGAGACUCCCAAAAACCAAAUCGGGGAAAAUUUCAGCAUGAAAAUAAGUGACAAUAAUACACUGUCACUGAAUAAAGCAGGCAUUCAUGAAUCUAUACUGAUUUAAGUGAAUGAAGGAAUAGAGAAGGAAGAGCUCUUCCUUACAGUAGUAGGAUGCCAACCAAGGCAGAAGCCACGGACUCACCAUUUGACAACCAAAAUAGUAAUUGGUUCAGUCAAGAAUUGUCAAUAGACUAGCCCGUGACAAUUCGAUGAGAAACAAUACAUUUACAAUCUUUAAGAAUCUCCUCACAAAUUACUUCCUAAUUCUAAUUUUACAAUGGAGAAACCUGGUAUAUACUAUCUGAACCAAGUGACCAAAAUUAAUACUAUCAGGUAUAAGACAAAUUGACAUUGUGUGCAUCCUGGCAUGACACAUUUGAGUAUAGAGCAUCAUUUCUGUAGUAUUGGACAAAAAUGUCUAUCCUAAACCUUAUGGGUCUUAUCUAAUGAUAAACCAAAACUGAGGAACUUUCUACAAACUGGCCAAUCCUCCUCAAGUGUCAAGGUCAAAGACAAGUCUGAAAAGAUGUUCUGGACUGAAUGAAACAAGAGAUAGGGCAACUAAAUGCACUAUGUGGUCCUGGAUUGGGAUGCUGAAACACAGGAACAUUACUGAGGCAAUCAAAAUCAGCAGAUUGAAUGUGGUCUAUGGAUUAGAUAUCAUGAUGUCAAUGUCAAUCUCCUAAGUUUGAUGGUUGUACUAUGGUUACGUAGGAAUGCCCUUGUCUUAAGGAAACACACAGUAGAUAGAGGUAAUAAUGCAAAAAAUAUUUUGGUUGGGAUUACAUUGAAUCUACAAAUGUAAAUGAACAUCUUUACACGACUGAGUCUUCUAAUUCGUGUACAUUAUGGAGUACUACAUUUAUUUAAGAUCUCCUUAAAUGCUUCCUGACAUGGUCUAACAUUUUCUCCAUCAAGAUCUUGUACAUCUUUUGUUAGACUUAUUCUUAGGUAGAGUAUUUUGUAUUUUUUAAUGAUAUUGAAGAGAUCUUUCUAAAAACUUCCAUUUCUGUUAGUUGCUGAUAUCUAGGAAUACAACUGACUUACAUACUGAUUGUGAAUGUAGCAAAUUUGCUAACUCCUAGAUGUUAACUGAAUAGUCUACAUAUAUAAUCAUAUCAACACAGUGCACACUGUGGAUCCUCUAGAAAUAGCAACCUCUUCUCAAGAGAUACUUGCCUCAGGGCCCCAGGAAACUAGAAAGCAUCUAGAGGCUUAAGGCUCUACGCUGGACAAAGUGCCAGGGAGCCCUAAAGGCAGAAAGGACCCAAAAGUGAAAUUCUCAUUUUUAAGCUGUGAGGGAAAACAGAGAAAUGAGUUUAUUACAUGAUAUAACCUUUGG